UACAGAGGUCCCAAGCGUUGUUCGGAUUCACUGGGCGUAAAGGGUGCGUAGGUGGUCAGGUAAGUCGGAUGUGAAAGCUCGGAGCUCAACUCCGAAAUGGCAUUGGAAACUACCUGGCUAGAGGAUUGGAGGGGGGACUGGAAUACUUGGUGUAGCAGUGAAAUGCGUAGAUAUCAAGUGGAACACCAGUGGCGAAGGCGGGUCUCUGGGCCGAUACUGACGCUGAGGAGCGAAAGCGUGGGGAGCAAACAGG
rnacentral:rRNA from 1 species